rnacentral:SRP_RNA from 1 species
GCUGGGCGAGGUGGCUCACGCCUGUAAUCCCAGCACUUUGGGAGGCUGAGGCAGGCGGUUCACUUGAGGCCAGGAGCUCAAGACCAGCCUGGCCAACAUGGUGAAACCCUGUCUCUA